rnacentral:rRNA from 1 species
UUGCACGCUGGCGGCAUGCCUUACCCAUGCAAGUCGAACGGCAGCGGGCCCUUCGGGGUGCCGGCGAGUGGCGAACGGGUGAGUAAUGCAUCGGAACGUACCCGGGAGAGGGGGAUAACCGGCCGAAAGGCUGGCUAAUACCGCAUGAACUCGGAAGAGCAAAGCGGGGGACCUUCGGGCCUCGCGCUCUCGGAGCGGCCGAUGUCCGAUUAGGCUAGUUGGUGGGGUAAAGGCCCACCAAGGCGACGAUCGGUAGCGGGUCUGAGAGGACGAUCCGCCACACUGGGACUGAGACACGGCCCAGACUCCUACGGGAGGCAGCAGUGGGGAAUCUUGGACAAUGGGCGCAAGCCUGAUCCAGCAAUGCCGCGUGGGUGAAGAAGGCCUUCGGGUUGUAAAGCCCUUUCGGCGGGGAAGAAAUCGGUCAGGCGAAUAGUCUGGCUGGAUGACGGUACCCGCAGAAGAAGCACCGGCUAACUACGUG